AGCUUUGCACAGUGGCAUGAUCGUAGUCAAUGAGGUUUAUCCAGGGCCUGAGUAUUGCUAAUUGAAAACCUUUCCCAAUACUUCACCAUGACGACUAGAAAUAUAGUUGGCAUUGACAAUUUUUUGAGUCUCUGCAAGGC
ensembl:snRNA U4 U4 spliceosomal RNA